rnacentral:rRNA from 1 species
UAGUUCUAACCAUAAACGAUGCCAGCCAGCGAUCCGCCGAAGUUCCUCCGAUGACUCGGCGGGCAGCUUCCGGGAAACCAAAGYUUUUGGGUUCCGGGGGAAGUAUGGUUGCAAAGCUGAAACUUAAAGGAAUUGACGGAAGGGCACCACCAGGAGUGGAGCCUGCGGCUUAAUUUGACUCAACACGGGAAACCUCACCAGGCCCGGACACCGGAAGGAUUGACAGAUUGAGAGCUCUUUCUUGAUUCGGUGGGUGGUGGUGCAUGGCCGUUCUUAGUUGGUGGAGCGAUUUGUCUGGUUAAUUCCGGUAACGAACGAGACUCUAGCCUGCUAAAUAGACGAUUUCCGGUAUCCACAAUAGUGCUACCGGCGAAAUCAAUAUCUUCUUAGAGGGACAGGCGGCUUUCAGCCGCACGAAACUGAGCAAUAACAGGUCUGUGAUGCCCUUAGAUGUCCUGGGCCGCACGCGCGCUACACUGAAGGAAUCAGCGUGUACACCCUGGCCGAAAGGCUCGGGCAACCCGUUGAACCUCCUUCGUGCUAGGGAUUGGGGCUUGCAAUUGUUCCCCAUGAACGAGGAAUUCCCAGUAAGCGCGAGUCAUAAGCUCGCGUUGAUUACGUCCCUGCCCUUUGUACACACCGCCCGUCGCUACUACCGAUUGAAUGAUUUAGUGAGGUCUUCGGACUGGUGCGCG